CCUACGGGUGGCAGCAGUGAGGAAUAUUGGUCAAUGGGCGCGAGCCUGAACCAGCCAAGUCGCGUGAGGGAUGACGGCCCUACGGGUUGUAAACCUCUUUUGUCGGGGAGCAAGCGUGUGCACGUGAACGCGCAUCGAGAGUACCUGGAGAAAAAGCAUCGGCUAACUCCGUGCCAGCAGCCGCGGUAAUACGGAGGAUGCGAGCGUUAUCCGGAUUUAUUGGGUUUAAAGGGUGCGUAGGCGGAAUGCCAAGUCAGCGGUAAAAAUGCGGGGCUCAACGCCGUCGUGCCGUUGAAACUGGCGUUCUUGAGUGGGCGAGAAGUAUGCGGAAUGCGUGGUGUAGCGGUGAAAUGCAUAGAUAUCACGCAGAACUCCGAUUGCGAAGGCAGCAUACCGGCGCCCUACUGACGCUGAGGCACGAAAGCGUGGGUAUCGAACAGGAUUAGAUACCCGUGUAGUC
rnacentral:rRNA from 1 species